CCUACGGGCGGCUGCAGUGAGGAAUAUUGGUCAAUGGUCGUGAGACUGAACCAGCCAAGCCGCGUGAGGGAGGAAGGUUCAGAGGAUCGUAAACCUCUUUUGUAAGGGAAUAAAGUCCGGGACGCGUCCCGUUUUGAGUGUACCUUACGAAUAAGCAUCGGCUAACUCCGUGCCAGCAGCCGCGGUAAUACGGAGGAUCCGAGCGUUAUCCGGAUUUAUUGGGUUUAAAGGGUGCGUAGGCGGUCUUUUAAGUCAGCGGUGAAAGGCCGAGGCUCAACCCCGGGCCUGCCGUUGAAACUGGGAGUCUCGAGUUGGAGAGCAGCAGGCGGAAUGUGCGGUGUAGCGGUGAAAUGCAUAGAUAUCACGCAGAACUCCGAUUGCGAAGGCAGCUUGCCAGGCCGAAACUGACGCUGAGGCACGAAAGCGUGGGGAUCGAACAGGAUUAGAUACCCGAGUAGUC
rnacentral:rRNA from 1 species